UGGGGAAUAUUGCACAAUGGAGGGAACUCUGAUGCAGCGACGCCGCGUGAACGAAGAAGGCUUUCGAGUCGUAAAGUUCUUUUAUAUGGGAAGAUAAUGACGGUACCAUAAGAAAAAGCCCCGGCUAACUACGUGCCAGCAGCCGCGGUAAUACGUAGGGGGCUAGCGUUGUCCGGAAUCACUGGGCGUAAAGGGUUCGCAGGCGGAAAUGCAAGUCAGGUGUAAAAGGCAGUAGCUUAACUACUGUAAGCAUUUGAAACUGCAUAUCUUGAGAAGAGUAGAGGUAAGUGGAAUUUUUAGUGUAGCGGUGAAAUGCGCAGAUAUUAAAAAGAAUACCGGUGGCGAAGGCGACUUACUGGGCUCAUUCUGACGCUGAGGAACGAAAGCGUGGGUAGCAAACAGG
rnacentral:rRNA from 2 species